rnacentral:rRNA from 1 species
GGAUUAGCGGCGAACGGGUGAGGAACACGUGAAGAAUCUGCCUUCAACUCUGGGAUAACUCCGGGAAACCGGGGCUAAUACCGGAUAUGAGCCUUGAUCGCAUGAUCGGGGCUGGAAAGUUUUUCGGUUGAAGAUGACUUCGCGGCCUAUCAGCUUGUUGGUGAGGUAAUGGCUCACCAAGGCGACGACGGGUAGCCGGCCUGAGAGGGCGACCGGCCACACUGGGACUGAGACACGGCCCAGACUCCUACGGGAGGCAGCAGUGGGGAAUAUUGGGCAAUGGAGGAAACUCUGACCCACCGACGCCGCGUGCGGGAUGAAGGCCUUCGGGUUGUAAACCGCUUUCAUCAGGGAAUAAGCGCAAGUGAAGGUACCUGCAGAAGAAGCACCGGCUAACUAUGUGCCAGCAGCCGCGGUAACACAUAGGGUGCAAGCGUUGUCCGGAAUUAUUGGGCGUAAAGAGCUCGUAGGUGGUUUGUUACGUCGGUUGUGAAAUUCAUGGGCUCAACCCCUGACUUGCAGCCGAUACGGGCAAGCUAGAGUUUGGUAGGGGAGACUGGAAUUCCUGGUGUAGCGGUGGAAUGCGCAGAUGUCAGGAUGAACACC